CCGUCAGCCCCACCCACGUCCUGCCCACUGGGAGCCGCUGAGCUGGGCGCAGGUUGGAACCGCCAUGGAAUCUACGGCCCCCGUCUCUCUACUCAGCUUUGGGGGAUUCAACAUUCCAGCACUGCCCCCUCUGCCACAGCAUCUAGCAACAUUCCAGAUGGUGACCACUCAGUGUGCUUGGGUCCCAGAGGGAGGAGGAUGAAGAGCUCCAUUUGACCUGCAGUGGACAUGUGAUUCUGUAGGUCAUGGGGAACCAGGUCGUGUGCUGCCAAGUGACUUGAUUGGCGCCUUCACGGGAAAAUGAACUUGGCCACACCUCCUUAGGGAAAUGAGAGGCAAGCAGCAACCUCGGUAAGAAGCUGCGCCGAUCAUCUGAAAAAGAAGCAAAGAAGGACUGAGACAGGCAAGUGGCAGCAGA